UUGCAGCCCUAAACACAUGCAAGUCGAGCGGUAGCACAGAGAGCUUGCUCUCGGGUGACGAGCGGCGGACGGGUGAGUAAUGUCUGGGAAACUGCCUGAUGGAGGGGGAUAACUACUGGAAACGGUAGCUAAUACCGCAUAACGUCGCAAGACCAAAGUGGGGGACCUUCGGGCCUCAUGCCAUCAGAUGUGCCCAGAUGGGAUUAGCUAGUAGGUGGGGUAACGGCUCACCUAGGCGACGAUCCCUAGCUGGUCUGAGAGGAUGACCAGCCACACUGGAACUGAGACACGGUCCAGACUCCUACGGGAGGCAGCAGUGGGGAAUAUUGCACAAUGGGCGCAAGCCUGAUGCAGCCAUGCCGCGUGUGUGAAGAAGGCCUUCGGGUUGUAAAGCACUUUCAGCGGGGAGGAAGGCGGUGAGGUUAAUAACCUUGUCGAUUGACGUUACCCGCAGAAGAAGCACCGGCUAACUCCGUGCCAGCAGCCGCGGUAAUACGGAGGGUGCAAGCGUUAAUCGGAAUUACUGGGCGUAAAGCGCACGCAGGCGGUCUGUCAAGUCGGAUGUGAAAUCCCCGGGCUCAACCUGGGAACUGCAUUCGAAACUGGCAGGCUAGAGUCUUGUAGAGGGGGGUAGAAUUCCAGGUGUAGCGGUGAAAUGCGUAGAGAUCUGGAGGAAUACCGGUGGCGAAGGCGGCCCCCUGGACAAAGACUGACGCUCAGGUGCGAAAGCGUGGGGAGCAAACAGGAUUAGAUACCCUGGUAGUCCACGCCGUAAACGAUGUCGAUUUGGAGGUUGUGCCCUUGAGGCGUGGCUUCCGGAGCUAACGCGUUAAAUCGACCGCCUGGGGAGUACGGCCGCAAGGUUAAAACUCAAAUGAAUUGACGGGGGCCCGCACAAGCGGUGGAGCAUGUGGUUUAAUUCGAUGCAACGCGAAGAACCUUACCUGGUCUUGACAUCCACAGAACUUUCCAGAGAUGGAUUGGUGCCUUCGGGAACUGUGAGACAGGUGCUGCAUGGCUGUCGUCAGCUCGUGUUGUGAAAUGUUGGGUUAAGUCCCGCAACGAGCGCAACCCUUAUCCUUUGUUGCCAGCGGUUAGGCCGGGAACUCAAAGGAGACUGCCAGUGAUAAACUGGAGGAAGGUGGGGAUGACGUCAAGUCAUCAUGGCCCUUACGACCAGGGCUACACACGUGCUACAAUGGCAUAUACAAAGAGAAGCGACCUCGCGAGAGCAAGCGGACCUCAUAAAGUAUGUCGUAGUCCGGAUUGGAGUCUGCAACUCGACUCCAUGAAGUCGGAAUCGCUAGUAAUCGUAGAUCAGAAUGCUACGGUGAAUACGUUCCCGGGCCUUGUACACACCGCCCGUCACACCAUGGGAGUGGGUUGCAAAAGAAGUAGGUAGCUUAACCUUCGGGAGGGCGCUUACCACUUUGUGAUUCAUGACUGGGGUGAAGUCGUAACAAGUAUGCUAG
rnacentral:rRNA from 1 species